GCGGUAAUACUAAAGGUGCAAGCGUUAAUCGGAAUUACUGGGCGUAAAGCGCGCGUAGGUGGUUUGUUAAGUUGGAUGUGAAAGCCCAGGGCUCAACCUUGGAACUGCAUUCAAAACUGACUCACUAGAGUACGAGAGAGGUUAGUGGAAUUUCCUGUGUAGCGGUGAAAUGCGUAGAGAUGGGAAGGAACACCAGUGGCGAAGGCGACUGACUGGCUCGAUACUGACACUGAGGUGCGAAAGCGUGGGGAGCAAACGGGAUUAGAUACCCCGGUAGUCCACGCCGUAAACGAUGUCUACUAGCCGUUGGAGGACUUGAUCCUUUAGUGGCGCAGCUAACGCGAUAAGUAGACCGCCUGGGGAGUACGGUCGCAAGAUUAAAACUCAAAGGAUUGACGG
rnacentral:rRNA from 1 species